GAGGAAGUAAAAGUCGUAACAAGGUUUUCCUUCCAGUUAAAGCUAUUGACUUAUUGAAGCCUGACGUGGGCGACUAUAAAUAUAACCAUGAAGUUCGGUCUUUAACAGACUGGACAACACCGCUGAAAUGCUGUGAUCAACUAUUGUUGUACCAGCAGCCCUCUUAUAGGGCCCACAGAUCAAGCCGCGGUGAUCCUACCUAGAGUAUUUAAGUAGGACUAUAAUAUGACCGGUCUCACCUGAGAUGGUUGAGAGAACACGUUCCGUAGGUGAACCUGCGGAAGGAUCAUUACCGAGUUAGGGUCUUAUAGGCCCGACCUCCAACCCUUUGUUUACUACACCAUGUUGCUUUGGCGGGCCCGCCUUUUGGGGCCGCCGGGGGUUUACAAGCCCCUGGUCAGUGUCCGCCAGUAGCCUUAUUAAAUUCUUUUAUAAUUAUGUUGUCUGAGUAUAAAUAUAAAUCGUUAAAACUUUCAACAACGGAUCUCUUGGUUCUGGCAUCGAUGAAGAACGCAGCGAAAUGCGAUAAGUAAUGCGAAUUGCAGAAUUCAGUGAGUCAUCGAAUCUUUGAACGCAUAUUGCGCCCUUUGGCAUUCCGAAGGGCAUGCCUGUUCGAGCGUCAUUAUCAACCAUCAAGCCUGGCUUGUCGUUGGACCUCUUUACCGCUGAAAUAUGUGGUAGGUCCGAAAGAUAAUGACGGCGUCGUGUUUGACCCUAGAUGCAACGAGCUUUUUAUAGCACGCAUUGAAGUGGUCGGCCGACCCGGUCUUUAACCAUUAUUUUCUAAGGUUGACCUCGGAUCAGGUAGGAAUACCCGCUGAACUUAAGCAUAUCAUAG
rnacentral:sRNA from 1 species